UGAGUUCAGUUGGAUAACUCAUAUAAUAUAUAUAUAUUCCAGCUUGAUAUUAGCGUCUAUAUUCUUUUUGGUGGCAGUAUUUUUUGUGUAUUCCAUAUUGCCAGAACUCCGAAAUGAACACGGCUUCAUGUUGCGCAAUUACACUGCAAUUGCAGCCAUCGGAUUCAUGAUUGAUAUUGUGAGACUUUUACAUGUCAACGAGCAUGUGUUAUAUCCCGUCUGUAUUACAAUUGCCUUUUUUGGAUAUUUUUGUUUUAUGUCGGGUUACUCUGGCUCAGUACCAUGAGCUUUAAUAUGUGGCGGACGUUCAGAGAUUUCUCUUCGUUACAAAGAAACGUCAGACAAUCAGGAAAAAAAAAGUUGGUG